rnacentral:rRNA from 1 species
AUUGAACGCUGGCGGCAUGCCUUACACAUGCAAGUCGAACGGCAGCACGGGAGCAAUCCUGGUGGCGAGUGGCGAACGGGUGAGUAAUGUAUCGGAACGUACCUUUCAGUGGGGGAUAACGUAGCGAAAGUUACGCUAAUACCGCAUAUUCUGUGAGCAGGAAAGCAGGGGAUCGCAAGACCUUGCGCUGAUUGAGCGGCCGAUAUCAGAUUAGCUAGUUGGUGAGGUAAAGGCUCACCAAGGCGACGAUCAGUAGCGGGUCUGAGAGGAUGAUCCGCCACACUGGAACUGAGACACGGUCCAGACUCCUACGGGAGGCAGCAGUGGGGAAUUUUGGACAAUGGGCGCAAGCCUGAUCCAGCCAUGCCGCGUGAGUGAAGAAGGCCUCGGUU